rnacentral:misc_RNA from 1 species
GAUGAAGAACGUAGCGAAAUGCGAUAAGUAAUGUGAAUUGCAGAAUUCAGUGAAUCAUCGAAUCUUUGAACGCACAUUGCGCCCGCCAGUAUUCUGGCGGGCAUGCCUGUUCGAGCGUCAUUACAACCCUCAAGCCCCCCGGCUUGGUGUUGGGGACCGGCCACCGGUGCCCGGCUGCUUCCGCGGCAGGCGCGCCCGGCCGCCCCCGAAAUGAAUUGGCGGCCCCGUCGCGGCCUCCCUCUGCGUAGUAGCACACAUCUCGCAGCUGGAGCGCGGCGCGGCCACUGCCGUAAAACGCACCAACUUUUUUUUACAGUUGACCUCGAAUCAGGUAGGAAUACCCGCUGAACUUAAGCAUAUCAAUAAGCGGAGGA